UGUGAGGUGCGGCGCGGCGUCUGUGAGGGGCGCGGCGUCUGUGAUGGGCGCAGGGUCUGUGAGGUGCAAAGGCCAUUUAGUGUGUGGCCUUAGUUAAUUUUUUGUUUUCAAUUUUCUGUCUCUCAUGUUAUUGAUCUGUAAAAGGAGCAUAAUCGAAGACAAACUGAUGUGAGGAUGAGGAGGAGUCAGAAAUAAACUCAUUCAACUAAUACUUGAGUAGCUACUGUUGCCUACAGUAUGUUCAAGGUUUUGCUAGUCAUCCAUAUGAUCACUAUUGACAGCUUGGGAGACUCACACAGGCUAGUGAAUUUCAGGAAUUAACAGAAACUGAACAGCUUCUAUAAUCCUGCAGGAAGUAACCUCUGGAUGGCACAAUGGAGUCUCACUCUGUUGCCCAGGCUGGAGUGCAAUGGCACAAUCUCAGCUCACCACAAGCUCCGCCUCCUGCGUUCAAGUGAUUCUCCUGCCUUAGCCUUCUGAGUAGCUGGUAUUACAGGUGCCUGCUACCAUGGCCAGCUAAGUUUUGUAUUUUUAGUAGAGACAGGGUUUCACCAUGUUGGCCAGGCUGUUCUCAAACUCCUGACCUCAAGUGAUCUGCCCGCCUAAGCCUCCCAAAGUGCUGGGAUUACAAGCAUGAGCCGCCGCACCCGGCCUCUGCUAAGUUUACAACCUGCAAAUUCUAUCCAAAAUAUAUACAUAUUUUCUUGUAUUUUUCAUUUAAUGCACCAAAAUAAAAAAAAAAUUGUUUUUCA
rnacentral:lncRNA from 1 species